UACGGAGGGGGCUAGCGUUGUUCGGAAUUACUGGGCGUAAAGCGCACGUAGGCGGCUUUGUAAGUUAGAGGUGAAAGCCCGGGGCUCAACUCCGGAAUUGCCUUUAAGACUGCAUCGCUAGAAUUGUGGAGAGGUAAGUGGAAUUCCGAGUGUAGAGGUGAAAUUCGUAGAUAUUCGGAAGAACACCAGUGGCGAAGGCGGCGACCUGGGCCAAUAUUGACGCUGAGGUGCGAAAGCGUGGGGAGCAAACAGG
rnacentral:rRNA from 1 species